rnacentral:lncRNA from 1 species
GGUCUCUCCCUGUCUUUGUCCUCGCCGUUUCGGGGCACAUGACCGUUAAUCUGCGGAGGCGGCUGCCAACGCCCAGUGUCCGCUGCCUGGGCACACCCAGAACCCCUAAACUCUCUCAGCUCCGGGCACUCGGGCACCCAGAGCCCGCUGAGCAGUCCCCGAGUUCCCAUCAGCUCCGGAUCCCACUCGGGCCCCACAGCGCCCCACAGCUCUGCUCCCUCUGGCUCCAGCACCCCCAACCCCUUGGCACAACCUGUGCCUGCUCUGGGGCUCUCCCCACGCUGCCUGAGGGAGGAGGCUCUGAGAGCCGAUUCCUCCCUCUUUCCCACCAAAAAGCAUCCGGGGCAUCCUCCUCCCCUCGCCCAGCUGGGCGCUGCCUUGUCCUCGCCCAGAUCCUGCCCGAAGGUCGCUGCCAAGGACACCCGCAGUCCCGGGGACACGGGUGGCCCUUGGGACACCCCGCACCCACACGAAACCCCCCGGGAGCAGGCAGGAGCUGGUGUCUGGUGGGGUAUGGCUGGAGCAGCUCUGGCUGGAGGCAGAGCUGCUGGGAGCUGGCGUGCUGCGGAUUUGGGAAGCUGGCACACAGGUCUGAUCCCCUCAGCGGUGCCACAGGGCUCAGCCUUAGUUGGAGCUGGAGCUUAACUGGGACAUGCCUGGAAUUCCAGCCUGGGGACAAGGCGAGGGCUGUGUGCACCCUGGGGGGCUCCUGGCUCAUGGGGCUCUGAUCCCCGUGCUGGAGGCUCCGGAAGGAAGGGCUGUGCUGUGUUGGGCUGUCCCACGCCGCCGUGACGCCUCCUGCUCUCCGUGUUCCCAGAUAAGAUCUGCGACCAGAUCAGCGAUGCUGUCCUGGAUGCCCACCUCAAGCAGGAUCCUGAUGCCAAGGUGGCCUGUGGUGAGUAAGGGCACCAGGGCACAGCCAGUGGGUGACGUGGAGGUGACAACACGCUGACGUCACCCUUGUCCCUGCAGAGACGGUGGCCAAAACCGGGAUGAUCCUGCUGGCGGGGGAGAUC